UACCGUUUUUUGUAUUCGACUACUUUGAUACAUUAAUUAUAUGUCAACCCUUUUGUAACUUGGUUAUGCAUUUUAUGUGUAUAGCAAAUUCAAAACUUUGGGGAACCCUUCUUCUUGGUCAUACCCUAAUGUUUUGGUUGUUCCUUUUCAUCCUGAUCUUCAAGCUACAGUUCCAUCGACGAGUCUGAAGUUGAAGUUGUUUCUAAAGUUCGUAAGACUCCGACGGUUAAAUUUUCAAAUGAGUGUCAAACUUUUGAACCGGUAGAGGAAUUGCUAUCACCUGAAGCCUCCUUUGACCUUCGUCAACCGCAGGUAACUAAAGUUGAGUCACUGCAAGACUACUCUCCCGAUUGGGGCAGACUUUAUUGGAAAAUUCAUACUGAUCUAUGCAGCAACAAUAGGACCAAUAGUGAACAACAAAUACAAUGGAGCAUAAACACUUAUAGGAACUGCAACUUGUGCUGCUUUAUCAAUCAUGUUCAUUAUUCUCUCAAUCGGUCAUAUCUCAGGCUGAAUUAGCUGAAUGGUUGGAAAGAGAUGGUUUCAAAUCCAUCCUUGAUGUUGUUGGUGCAUAAAAUUUGUCCAUGUCGUUUGACAGAAGUUUAUGGACGAAUAAGUUUUUUUCUUACCUUCUCACAAAAUCAGAAUCUACUAGAAUUUCUACCAUUGGGGCAUUGGAUAUGCAACGAUCAUCAUCAGCAUCAUCAACAUCUUUAAAGGGUUCGAUGCAUUGGAGGUGUCUGCAGGAAACAGUUACGAUAACUGGAAGCACGCGUACACCGACAUUAUUGCAGCAUUGGGUGACAUUGCGGUAGUUUUAGAAGCUUACACUUGGAUCAUUGAGAUUGAAGAUGUACAUUAGAAUCUGAGAUUGAAGCUGCACAUGGAUCUCUAUGUAGCAUAAUUUGUACUCAGCCUAGAAGAAUAUCUGCAAUAUAUGUUUCUGAAAGAGUUGCGGCAUCCAUGAGUAGUCUUAGGCUUGGUUUAAAUGUUACAUUGUCACUGGAGUAAACCUUAUAUAGUGGUGUGAAAAUUUUCAUCUCUUUUAUUUUCUCAUUCUUUGCUGUGUAAUGACUAUUUAUGCUUCUGCAGGUUUUUAUUCUGGUAUGACAAAUUUUGAU